UGGGGUGUAGCUCAGUGGUAGAGUACUUGCCUGGUAUACACAAGUCCCUGGGUUCAAUUCCCAAUAACAUAA
rnacentral:tRNA from 1 species